GAUCCCAAACACUGAAUAUGGAGCUUAUUUGAAAAUCAUCUAGAAAAUCCACUACAAAUUUAUUUGAAUGCGGAGGAAAUCCUGUACAUGCAUCACCUCAAUGUGCUAAUGCCUCAAUCUUCCAUAUUGGUGCAUUUUCUGGUUUACAAUGCACAUGUCCAAACUAUCUCAAUCUCGCUUCUCUAAACUUUUCUUUGAAUUCCAC
rnacentral:misc_RNA from 1 species